GGAGGAGGAGGAGGANCUGGUGCACACAGAUGCUGCCCAGGCGCUGGGGAAAAGACGCGUGGACGUCGAGGACCUAGGUGUGGACUUCCUGACGAUCGUGGGGCACAAGUUCUACGGCCCCAGGAUCGGAGCACUUUACGUCCGAGGGCUCGGUAAACUGACCCCGCUGCACCCUAUGCUGUUUGGAGGUGGACAGGAGCGCAACUUCAGGCCAGGGACAGAGAACACUCCCAUGAUCGCCGGCCUCGGCAAGGCUGCUGAGAUGGUGACUGAGAACUGCGAAGCUUACGAGGCGCACAUGAGAGACAUCCGCGACUACCUGGAGGAGAGACUGCAGGCUGAAUUUGGUAAGAGAAUUCAUUUGAACAGCCGGUUUCCAGGAGUCGAACGUCUUCCCAACACCUGUAACUUUUCCAUCCAGGGACACCAGCUUCAAGGCUAUGUGGUGCUUGCACAGUGCCGGACGCUGCUGGCCAGUGUGGGGGCUUCCUGCCACUCAGACCAAGGGGACCGGCCGUCCCCAGUGCUGCUCAGCUGUGGCAUCCCCUUCGAUGUGGCCAGGAACGCGCUCCGGCUCAGCGUGGGCCGCAGCACCACCAGGGCCGAGGUGGACCUCGUUGUGCAGGACCUGAAGCAGGCCGUGGCCCGGCUGGAAGGCCAGGCCUAGUGCUGGGGCCGCCCUUGCCCUCGGUGGCCAGGACAGGGCCGUGGUCACUGCGCCCAUAGGAAGCCCGUUGCUGAGCGCUCGGUGUCUGACUGUGCCACUCAGCUGCGCCAGGGCCACACUUACUUCCUUUGAUCCUCGCUGUCAUGGAGUACCCAGGCACAGGGGUGUCCGUCCGUGUGCCUCCUCCCCUGAAUGUGGGCUGAUGCAGAGAUGUCCUGCCCAGCCCAGCUCCUGACAGGCCCAGCACACCAGCACCCACGUAGGACUGUCCCAUGGCGCUGCCAGAGGCUGUGUGGAAAUGGAAACGCUUCUCCCCUUGUCCCUCUGGGCACUCAGGACUCCCACCCUCCGAAGGCUGGCUUUAUCCAAAAGAUAAAAUCCACUGCCAGUAAGCUGCUGUCAAAGAUAGGAAACUAUGGCACCUGCACCAUGUGAUGUGGCCUCCCCUGACCUCCGUGUGCAGUGACCCCCAGAUGGGUGGUAGCUGCUGCUCUCGCUUCCCUGGCCCCACCAUCAUCCUGACGAUGCCUUGUCCCCGUGGGACACCUUCCUGGCAGACAAGCAUGGUCUGCCCUCAUGGUUCUGUGGGCCACUGUCCACUGCCCUGCCCAGCCCCCCAUUGUGCCCGCUUCCCCCUCUGCUUUCUUACUCAGGAUUCAACUCCAGCGUCACUGCUGUGAGUGUGUGCAAUUCCGGGUCACCCCGAGGUGGGGGCCAGGUCAUCCCUGACUCUCCUUACUGUUUGCAAAAGAUUUGUUUAUCCUCACAGAAUGUAUGGCAUACACAUCAAAUGCCAAUAUUUACAUAGGAAUAAUUUUCAGAGAGUAACAUUUUUAAUGUGCUUUUAAGGUUCAAAGAACUAUAGG
rnacentral:lncRNA from 1 species